CAACCAAUAACAAAGAGGAAGACAGACACAUUUGAGUCAUAAUGGCUAGGAGAAACGAAAAGUAUCCAGAAUAUACCGUUGAACUAUACCAAAUAACAUGCAAUUUUCUUCAUAACUCAACUGGAUAGAUCCUUUCAACAUACACUUAACUUUCUCAUUGUCACUACUCAAUAGCCAUGAUUGACCAAAAACUUGUGCAGCUGAGGUAAGAAGUUUGAUACGUUGAGCAGCAAAACGGGGACAUGAUAAUAGAUAAUGUUUUACAGAUUCACUUUCUACACCACAUGCACAUAAAGGAGAAUUACAACAAUUAAUACUAUAUAAAUAAUCAUUCAAGGCACAGCAGCCCAAUCUUAGUCUUGUAUGUAAGACAGAAGCUCUUCUCGUAAGUGAAAAGUUAAACCAUUUAUCAUAAUUAAAUGGAUGAAAAUGAUUAACUAUUUUAGAUUUAAAAAUAGCAUGGGAGAUUGAGUUUCUCACAUCAAGAUCAAUGGAGUUCCAUAAAGAAAUUGUGGAAGGAAAAUAAGACUUUUUGAAUUUUUCAGUUCUACAUCUAUACUCACUAAUAUUUUGGCCAGUUCGUAAAGAAAUAUAAGAUCUUUCAUUCACCAAAAUCGGUAAGAGAUCUACUAGGUACGGAGCAGUAGAUUUAUUAACUAUCUUGUAGAAAUGAGAUAAUUUAUGAAUUUUUCUUCUGAUGCUCAACUCCUCCCAAGCAAGUUCCUCACGAAGACUUUUUGAACUAGUACCUGCUAUGGCCCCCGUAACGACUUUGGCAGACUCAUACUGGACACUUUCAAGCAGGUCACUAUUACUAACAGUACAAUUAUCCCAUAUAAGAUCCCCAUACUCCAUAAUUGGACGUAUCAGGCUCUUAUACAAACAAGCAAGAGUUGAUCUAUUAAUUUUAAACCUCAACGAU